rnacentral:tRNA from 1 species
GGCCGGCUGGCGAAAUGGUAUCGCGUCAGAUUUCGGCUCUGAAGAUUGCAGGUUCGAGCCCUGCGUCGGUCG